rnacentral:misc_RNA from 1 species
AACGCACAUUGCGCCCGCCAGCACUCUGGCGGGCAUGCCUGUUCGAGCGUCAUUUCAACCAUCAAGCCCCAGGCUUGUGUUGGAGCCCUGCGGCUGCCGCAGCCUCCCAAAAACAGUGGCGGGCUCGCUAUCACACCGAGUGCAGUAGAUUACUCUUCGCUCAGGGCGUGUGGCGGGUUCCAGCCGUGAAACCCCCUACUUCUCAAGGUUGACCUCGGAUCAGGUAGGAAUACCCGCUGAACUUAA